GCUUCUCCCAGGAGAGGGACACUUCGGUGCUGAAUUCAUUUCCCAGGAGUUCUUUGCAGACAUUCAGGAUCACCUGAAACAUGUUCUGUCAAAGGAACAUAGAGCGAGUGAGACACAAAUGCAGAAUUGCAUUAAAACGGUCCAGAAUUCUGCAGGCCUGCUUCCAAUUGUCCAGGUUUUCAGCCACCUGGUUGAGGGCAACCAUGACUCUCCGGCCAUGGAAACGCACCAGCGGAUCCUCCUGCAGGUUGCCUUCAGUAGGGAUGGUCUUGAAGUAUGCUUUUGUCUCAGGAUAAUCUGUGAAGAGUCUGUAUGGGGAAGAAACAAUAGUGACUGAAAAUCACAAAUUAGCAAAGCAAGCCCACGGUGGUUUUACUGUGGCUUUAAGAGAAUCUCCAGAGUGGGAGAUGACUGUUGGAGGAGGUUAUUGGUUUUAGGUUAGACUGACAGAUUGACCAGAGUUAAAAUGCUCUGUCUAUAUGUUAACUAUGUAUCUAAUAAAGACUAUUGUUAAAUUACUAGCAAUGAA